rnacentral:rRNA from 1 species
AUUGAACGCUGGCGGCAUGCCUUACACAUGCAAGUCGAACGGUAACGGGCCUUCGGGUGCCGACGAGUGGCGAACGGGUGAGUAAUACAUCGGAACGUGCCCGAUCGUGGGGGAUAACGAGGCGAAAGCUUUGCUAAUACCGCAUACGAUCUACGGAUGAAAGCCGGGGACCGCAAGGCCUUGCGCGGACGGUGCGGCCGAUGGCAGAUUAGGUAGUUGGUGGGAUAAAAGCUUACCAAGCCGACGAUCUGUAGCUGGUCUGAGAGGAUGAUCAGCCACACUGGGACUGAGACACGGCCCAGACUCCUACGGGAGGCAGCAGUGGGGAAUUUUGGACAAUGGGCGCAAGCCUGAUCCAGCCAUGCCGCGUGCAGGAUGAAGGCCUUCGGGUUGUAAACUGCUUUUGUACGGAACGAAAAGCCUUCUUUUAAUACAGGAGGGUCAUGACGGUACCGUAAGAAUAAGCACCGGCUAACUACGUG